CUUGUCACCGUGUUACUUUUGAGACUCCUGAGCAACAAUCCCAAAUGAAAUCGACACAACAGAUCGGGAGGCGCGUGAGUAGAAUUUAGUGACACUCUGAGAGACUUGAAGGGGAAAUCCUCAGUCGUGCUGCGUAAAUGGAAUAUAUUGGCAAUUAUGUUGUUUGCUCAAGUGUCCAAUUAUUGAGAAUUAAUUUAAAUCCCCCAAAAAACAGUCAGUGUCCAGGACGACUGCGGGAAACAGGGGGCGUAGUACAUUCAUUUAAAGAGAAAGGCUGUCGGAGCCCAAAGGUGCAGCUAGUCCAGCAAUGUUGAACCGACCGGGGAUUCUACCUGCCUGCAUCAUGAGGACAGAGGAACAAGAACACCAUUUACCUGGACGACUACCACCUGAUCAGCUUCUGCUCUGCUCCGUUUUAAUCAGUUCAGUCAACUCGAAACAGUAUUAAUGAAAUAUUCCAAAAAGUUACUUCUUGCUUGCUUCUUCUUGCUUGACUGAACGUCUCUUGUAUUUGCUCAACAAAACAAGCAUGCUAGUGGUUUCAAGUCAGCAUAAACGCUGCAUAGAGAAGAUAUAAAGCUAAAACCUAAUCUCAUUGUCAGUACUGCCAGUUCUCCUCCGAGCAUUCCUUCUUUGAAAAAUGUGUCACACAGUUCUCAAUAUCUACUGUGUGCAUUAAACAUGGCGACCACUGACAACAAACAUCAAGUCCAUUUUCUAUCACGGAUUAAGGUUUUCAAUUCUGUCCACACACACACACACUAACAAAAGCAAACACAGUCCUCUGAAACGAUAACAUGGUGCUGUGUGUUGAGAAGAUGUGCUUCUCUCCUUUAUCUUCUCAACGAUCGGUGGAGCUUUGGGGCCUCGGGAUGAAACCAGCUGAGCCGCACAGGCAGCCCCCGACCUCGGAUACGGAGUGAGAUGUUUCAUCCCUCCUUAAGCCCAGUGCUGAUGUCAGCAUGGCCUCCAAGCUGAAAUGCGUAUUUGUAUAUAGGCACUUACGACAUUGUCCCAAUCAGAUCUGGCUUCUGAAUUUCUGGAAUGAAAAACAGAAUCAUCUUGGGUUUCGUGAUCUGCCAAAACGGUUCCAGUGCUCAGUGAUCUCAUCUUUUGUGUUCCUCUGAAAGGCUUUGACAUGUGAGAAGGAAAGCAAAUGCGAAAGGGCACCCAUCCAGAAGUCAUGACAUUUUCAAUAAGGAAUGCCUGUGGUGACUGAGAAGAAACCGGAUGAUCUGCAAUAUCCUCUUUGCACCUCUCCGCCAUGUGUCAAUUACUUCCAAGAGAUUCUGCUCAUACAGAUCAUAUUUGUCUUAUCUCAAUAAUUUCAUUUUCAAAUGCCCCCCUUUUGGGGUCACAGCGUUUUCAUCCAAUUCCCCACUUUUUUGCACUGGUAGCAAAAUAAAUACAGAUUGUUCUUCAUAUUAUAGGUUCAGUUGCCAACUACAAUAAAUUCAGCAACUAAUACAGAAAUGCAAAAUGCUGGUAUCUGGGGAAAGAAUGUUUAUAAUCACCUCCAUUACAUCAGUUUUAUUGAGGUCAAUCCCGCUUUAGACACCAUGCGAAGAAAUGGUUGAGUCAUGAUGACACCAAGUGGACAAACAAGGAACCACAGCUGCAGGCAGCCAAGUCUUCAACUGUUUUUGUCAGAUUAUUUAAGACGUUUCCCUCUUUCUUUUCAGGCAUGUAUCUAUUUAUGUCUGUGACCUCCCUCCAAACCCAUGAGACAGUUUGGUCAGUUGUUUAUUUUCUGAGCUGUUAUUUUGGCUCGGCCAUCAGGAUACGACACAGCUGGAUUACUAAACUCUUCCCUCAACAUCUGGGAGCAAGAUGUCUGGCCAGAGCCGUGUCUUUGCUGCAGUCACCUAUUCACCCGCCCCACAUGCAUUCCUUUCUUCUUACCCUCUUCUAUCGUCCGUGUUUUGUCACUGCUCCAGCUAACGGUGUCUGCUACUCGUAUAGCAAGAGCAGGAUGCAUUGAUUUAAAUUGAUUAGUUCAGUACAGCAAAAUAGUGCAAUUUACCCUCACAACGUAAUUUGCAAAAAAGUGUAUAUAGAAAAAUGAUUAUUCUCUUUCUGAGAUUUAGAAGCAAAGAUCACCCGCUGAUACUACUUUAUUUUGCAUUUUUGGAGUUGUUUUUUUCACAUUUUCUGCUUACUGUAACAUUAAUUCAGCUCCAUAUCUGAUAUCUGCAUUUCGUUAUUUUGAGGAUAUAGUUUUAAUAGAUGAAACUGAUGAUCUCAAUUGUGGCUCAUUGCGUACAGUCGAAUGUUCUACUUCUCAAGCAAUGUCUUUUGUGUAUCAAACUCGCGAACAGGAGUGCAAACGGCAAACUUUGAAUGAUGGCGGUGCAGCGCCGGGUAGGACUUCACAGGCAGAGCCGUUGACAUUUGGUCUCCAGGCUCUGUUUGAGCUUAGUGUUUCCUCAGACUUUCAUCCCUCCUUCCUGACACACCGGCUCAUCUUGGAUCUCGGGCCAGACGUCCCCCGUCCCCCAGGGAUUCAGGGCAGUAUCUCAUCUGUCACGGAUGACACCACCCUCAUUGGACUGAUCUCUGGUGGGGACGAGUCCGCCUACAGGUGGGAGUCUGACCAUCUGGUGUCGUGAUGCAGCCAGAACAACCUGGAGCUCAACGCUCUAAAGACAGUGGAGAUGGUUGUGGAUUUCCGAAGGAACAGAGCCCCACCCUCCCCCAUCACCCUGUGUGACUCCCCCAUCACUAUUGUGGAUUCCUUCCGUUUCCUGGGCUCCAUCAUCACCCAGGACCUCAAGUGGGAGCUGAACAUCAGCUCCAUCACCAAGAAGGCUCAGCAGAGGUUGUUCUUCCUGAGGCAGCUGAAGAAAUUCAACCUGCC
ensembl:lncRNA